rnacentral:tRNA from 1 species
GAAAAGAUAAGCUAAACCCCCAAGCUUACGGGUUCAUACCCCGUCUAUGAAACUUUUUCUCUUUUCA